AACAAAUAGCAGCAGGAUAUUCUAUAUUUCUUAAGCCCCCCAGUCCCACCACCUGUACUUCGAAAUAUGCUUGGGAAAUAGAUUUGGGCGUGACGCUUUGGGACAGGAAGUGGAAUUUUCUUCUAAAUCGUUCCCGGGUUGUGUUGUCUGCACCAACCCAGGAACGACACUAGGUGGCGCCAUAUAAAAGCCACUGAAUUGGCGCCGGGUGCCCAGUUCUUCCUUGUCACGUUCCCAAGGAUGUCCGAUGAAGCUUCGUCCUCGUGAUUCUCAAGGAUGUUAAUUUUCAGGCACAGGGGUUGUAUUCCCCGCGGCCACUCGUUUCGCCUGGCCAGGCUGAAACCACAGCUUGGUUUCUGGCCUCGCUCCUGCCCUGUCUCAGUCGCUGGUUUAAUAGGAGACCACGGGCGGUUGAACAAGCCACUCUUNGGCACCUCACGACAGCCAUCAUUCUUGUUUUCUUUCUGUUUCUUUCUUGCUUUCUUUUUAUUUAUGCCUUUCCCUGCUGUCCCCACCAGGGCACUAAGGAAACAAAGGAAAAUGUAUAAAAUCCAGAAAAAUACUAAUCCCACUUAUGAGAACAAAUGUUUUAAAAAUUAACCCCGGUUACUGAGAGCAACAUUUUACUGGGGUUUUUUUGUCUGGAGGCCUCUGCCAGUAAGCAAAUUUUAAGUCAGAGCAGUAAUACGAAUGGUUUCCAGAUUAUCAGUCCAAGCUUGGAUAACGUUUGUGGCAUAACCGCAGUCCCCAGACACAUGCGAGAGCUGUUAAUCCGUGCCAUUGUGUGCUUGCAAGAUUUCAAAAUAUGGUAUCUACCAAGGCUUCAGGACAAUAUACAUAAAGUGUCCACCCCUCCCUUCCCUCGGUCCUUAAAUUUGGCUUUAACUGCAUCUUCUCAUCCUUUUUCAGGUUUCAGUCGGGGCGGCUACAACCAGAAUCGCUGGGGAGGCGGAAAUCGAGACAGCAACAACAAUAACAGAGGCAACUACAAUCGGAGCAACCAACCGCCGAGCAGCUACAGCCCGGGACACAAUCAGAACACCUACAAGAGCAGUAGCAGCAGCGUUGCCCCCACCCCCCCUCCCCCUGCCCCCAGCGCCCCUCCCAGUACUUACAAUCCGGGACCACAGCAGAGCUAUAGCCAACCUUACAACCCUCCUUCCAGCUACGGCCAAGGGAGUUAUGCCUCUAGCUACAACUAUGGGAGUUACAGCAGUUACAACCAGAGUUACACCCAACCGCCACCCCCACCAGCUCCCACACCGCCAGCCUACAAUCAGCCGAACUACAACCAGUACCAGCAGUAUGCCCAGCAGUGGAGCCAGUACUACCAAAACCAGAGCCAGUGGCCCCCGUACUAUGGCAGCUAUGACUAUGGGGGUUACAGUGGGCCCUCGCACGGAGGCUCUGGUGCCCAGUGAUGGCGCUCUCCUGUUCCAGGAGAGAUUCCCUUGGCAGGUUUUUGAACUUGAGGGCUUGGGCUUUCUAGACCGCCAUGAGAGACCGGGGGGGAGGGAAUUAGCCUCUCUGCUCCCGCUGUCUCUCUCUAGUUCUUGAGGGUGGCUGCGUUUUUACUUGUACAGCUAGAGGCAUGCUUCUUUCCCUCCCUCCGUACCAUCCCUCAUGAGGAAGUUGCGUGAGUUCUUUCUCUCUCCUUGUUGAAGAUAUAUAUAUUUUUUUCCUUUUUUAAUUCUGAAAAAAAAAAAGAAGAAGAAGAAGAAGAAGAAAAAGAAGAACCUAGAUUCUUCAGUCUGUCACAUCCUUGUACCGUUUAGGACAAAAUCCACCCUCGUAUCAAACUUUUUACAAUAGUUAAGGCUGAGGGAGGAGAGCGUUACAAGGAACCCCCUCGUAGGCUGUAUCACCGCCCUCUCCGUCCCGGCUCACACACCUGUGCUAGCAAUCAGUUCCAGACAUUUUGAAACCUCUUCCUGCAGUUGGAUGUCACCUGUCUUUGAGGUAUUUUUAUUAUUCGUCUUUCUUGAAAACAACUAUUAAAACUGGAGGAAGAAUUGCUGGCUGUCUUAUGGUAAUUAUGAUUCCUUUUUUUCCUGUAACUUUUUACUGUGGGUCAACAGCUGUUAAUAUUUUCAUCAAGGUAACAAUUCCUUUUUUUUUUUUUUUUUUGCUCAAUUCAAGAGAGAAGAAACAAAGAAAUGGGGGGGAAAUCAUCUUAAAUGUGUAACUUUUUAUACAAUGUCUAAGUUUCUGUAACUUUGCACAUGCUUUGUGUUGAGUUGAAUUGUAACAGCUUUUUGUAUUUGGAGAAAAAAAGAGUGACUAUUGAACUUUACGUCAUUUGCCUCUUGAGUUUUCAUUUUUCCACGCAAAUCUUUAGGUCAAUGUCUGUGAACAGAAAAACAAGAGAAACAGAAAGCAAAUUAUAACUGAAAAUUCAAAAUAAAUAUAAAAUACCAUAUAAUAAGUAUCUCUAC
ensembl:lncRNA